rnacentral:rRNA from 1 species
UCGAUCAUGGCUCAGAUUGAACAUGGCCGAGAUCUUACCCCCACCUAAAUCAGGCAACGCACGGACUUCGGUCUGGUGGCGAGUGGCGAACGGGUGGUAUUGGCGAAUCGGAACAUUGCCUAGUAGCGGGGAUAACUACGCGAAAGGCGUGGCUAAUACCACAUGCAUGUCGGGGAAAGCAGGGGACGGCUUCCGAGCUCCUUUACUAUUAAGAGCAGCCGAUAUCAGUUAGCUAGUUGGUGGGGUAACGGUCUCCCCGCAGGGCGACGAUCCGUAACUGGUUUGAGAGGACGACCAAGCCACACUGGGACUGAGACACGGCCAGACUCGUUAUGCGGGCAGCAGUGGGGGUACGGACAGUAGAAGCCUGGUCCAGCCAUCCCGCGUGCGACCAGAAGGCCUUCGGGUUGUAGCUUGCCUUUGGCGAAAGAAACGGCGGAUAGCCAUGCGGCUUAUUAUUGCACCUGCAGAAUAGCGCCGGCUUUAACUACGUGCCCAACAUGUACGGUAACCAUGGGUACGAAGCGUUAUUGGAAUUACUGGGCGUGAGCGUGCGCAGGCGGUUCGGAAGAAGAUGGCGAAAUCGGAAAGCAACUGGAACUGCGUUUAGCUACCGGGCGGUAUGGAGAGGUGGAAUUCCGCGUCGUGGCAGUGAAAUGGGACAGAUAUGCGGAGGAACACACCGAUGGCUGGAUGACGCUCCUGGGGAUAACGCUCUUGCGGUGAGGCAAGCAAGUUGGGUUCACCUGGUGAUCACGCCUAUUGAUGUCGACGCUAGCUGUUGGGGCCUUCGGGUGGUGACGUUACAGCUAACGCGUGAAGUUGACCGCCUGGGAGCCACGGUCGCAAGACCAAAACUCCAAAAGGGAUUGACGGGGACCCGCACAAGCGUGAGAUGAUGUGGAUUAAUUCCGAUGCAACGCGAAAAAGCCGUUACCUACUUGCCGACAUUGUCUGGAAUCAGGGUGCCGGGAGUGCUCGCAAGAGAACCGGAACACCAGGUGCUGCGCAGGCUGUGUCGAAGCAAGUGUCAUUGAGAUGUUGGGUUAAGUCCCGCAACAGGCGCAAGCCGCUUCUGUCAUUAGAUUUGAUUGCGAAAAAGGGGAGAGCUAAUGAGACUGCCGGUGACAGAGCCGGAGGAAGGUGGGGAUUGACGUCCAGAAGUCCUCGCUGACGCUCUAUGGUGGGGGCGUCGUACAAUGGUCGGGACAGAGAAGUCGCGGCCCGCGAGGCCAAUCAGAAACAGUAGUCCCGGAUCGCAGUCUGCAACUCGACUGCGUAGUCAGAAUCGCGCUGGUAAUCGCGGUCGGCAUGUCGCGGUGGGGCGUUAAAUGCUUACAUUUUCCGCCAGAAUCACACCAUGGGAGUGGGUUUUACCCUGAUAGUUAGCCCUAACCGUAAGGAGGGCGUUACUGCAAUGCGAUUCAGCUGGGGUGCGUCGUAACAAAGCCUGUUACUACCGCAAUUAUCCAGAGCAAUACGCCAACGAAAAGCCG